UGGACCUCAGAUCAGGCAAGAUCACCCGCUGAGUUUAAGCAUAUCACUAAGCGGAGGAAAAGA
rnacentral:rRNA from 2 species